AUCGCCGGCUAAAAACCCAACCACCGGCGCCACAUCCUCCGGCAGUCCAAGCCUUCCAUGUGGACACUCAUCAAUCGCCUUCUUAAUCAUCUCCUCCGUUUUCCCUUCGUAAAACAUAUCCGUUGCAAUGGGUCCCGGCGCCGCACAAUUCACCGUUAUCCCUGUCCCUUUCAGUUCUUUCGCCAGUAUUUUCACCAUUGCUUCCACGGCCGCCUUUGACGCCGCGUACGCCCCGAAUCCGGGCCUCAACGCCACCGCCAUCGACGACGUUAAGCAUAUA
rnacentral:misc_RNA from 1 species